GUGCCAGCCGCCGCGGUAAUACGAAGGUGGCAAGCGUUGUUCGGAAUCACUGGGCAUAAAGCGCGUGUAGGCGGCUGGGUAAGUCGGGUGUGAAAUCCCUCAGCUCAACUGAGGAACUGCGCCCGAAACUACCUUGCUUGAGGUCUGGAGGGGAGAGUGGAAUUCCCGGUGGAGCGGUGAAAUGCGUAGAUAUCGGGAGGAACGCCGGUGGCGAAAGCGACUCUCUGGACAGAUCCUGACGCUGAGACGCGAAAGCUAGGGGAGCAAACGGGAUUAGAAACCCCCGUAGUCC
rnacentral:rRNA from 1 species